rnacentral:rRNA from 1 species
CCNGACCAGCACGCCGCGUGAGGGAAGAAGGUUUUCGGAUCGUAAACCUCUGUCCUUGGUGAAGAGAAAGAGACGGUGGCCAAGGAGGAAGCCCCGGCUAACUACGUGCCAUCANCCGCGGUAAUAC